UGGGGAAUAUUGGACAAUGGGCGAAAGCCUGAUCCAGCCAUGCCGCGUGUGUGAAGAAGGCCUUUUGGUUGUAAGGCACUUUAAGUGGGGAGGAAAAGCUUAUGGUUAAUACCCAUAAGCCCUGACGUUACCCACAGAAUAAGCACCGGCUAACUCUGUGCCAGCAGCCGCGGUAAUACAGAGGGUGCAAGCGUUAAUCGGAAUUACUGGGCGUAAAGCGCGCGUAGGUGGUUAUUUAAGUCAGAUGUGAAAGCCCCGGGCUUAACCUGGGAACUGCAUCUGAUACUGGAUAACUAGAGUAGGUGAGAGGGGAGUAGAAUUCCAGGUGUAGCGGUGAAAUGCGUAGAGAUCUGGAGGAAUACCGAUGGCGAAGGCAGCUCCCUGGCAUCAUACUGACACUGAGGUGCGAAAGCGUGGGUAGCAAACAGGAUUAGAUACCCUGGUAGUCCACGCCGUAAACGAUGUCUACCAGUCGUUGGGUCUUUUAAAGACUUAGUGACGCAGUUAACGCAAUAAGUAGACCGCCUGGGGAGUACGGCCGCAAGGUUA
rnacentral:rRNA from 1 species